rnacentral:rRNA from 1 species
GUGCCAGCAGCCGCGGUAAUACGGAGGGUGCAAGCGUUAAUCGGAAUUACUGGGCGUAAAGCGCACGCAGGCGGUCUGUCAAGUCGGAUGUGAAAUCCCCGGGCUCAACCUGGGAACUGCAUUCGAAACUGGCAGGCUAGAGUCUUGUAGAGGGGGGUAGAAUUCCAGGUGUAGCGGUGAAAUGCGUAGAGAUCUGGAGGAAUACCGGUGGCGAAGGCGGCCCCCUGGACAAAGACUGACGCUCAGGUGCGAAAGCGUCUGGGGAGCAAACAGGAUUAGAUACCCUGGUAGUCC